ACCGGUGACAGUGUCCGCACCACAAUUAUGACAAAUAUUUCCUUUGAGUUGUCAUUUAUUUUGCUUUCUAAUUCCUAUGAAUGAAUUAAUCUUAGCCUGAUUUGAUAAACUUAUUUACCCAAGAAAAGUUCAAACAUAAAAAUAGGCCUAAGCAAAAUCUCCAUGGGCCAAGCACCACAUCUGAACGCCUAAUUCCUGGUUGCAAUUUCUUGAAGACCUACCACAUAAAGUUAGAGAGAAGAAGGGACACAUUUUGUUUCCCUUGCUAUAUUCAAAUCCAGCAUCAUAUUUUAGCAGCGUAUGAUGCUCAUGGAUCCUCUAUGGUGCCC
rnacentral:lncRNA from 1 species